rnacentral:rRNA from 1 species
UUACGAGGUCAGGACACUGUGAGGAUUGACAGAUUGAAAGCUCUUUCUUGAUUCAGUGGGUGGUGGUGCAUGGCCGUUCUUAGUUGGUGGAGUGAUUUGUCUGGUUAAUUCCGUUAACGAACGAGACCUUAACCUGCUAAAUAGUCACGCGAACCGGUCCGCAAGGGCUCAAAGUUCGCGGCUCGACUUCUUAGAGGGACUAUCCGCACCCGCCAGCGAAUGGAAGUUUGAGGCAAUAACAGGUCUGUGAUGCCCUUAGAUGUUCUCGGCCGCACGCGCGUUACACUGACGGAGUCAACGAGCGUUUUUCCUUGCCCGAUAGGGUUGGGUAACCUCCUGAAACUCCGUCGUGAUGGGGAUAGAUCAUUGCAAUUAUUGAUCUUGAACGAGGAAUUCCUAGUAGGCGCGAGUCAUCAACUCGCGCCGAUUACGUCCCUGCCCUUUGUACACACCGCCCGUCGCUCCUACCGAUUGAACGGUCCGGCGAGAACUCCGGAUGGUC